CAAAUACUCCCUCCGUCCGGAAAUACUUGUCAUCAAAAUGGAUAAAAGGAAAUGUAUCUAGACGUAUUUUAGUUUUAGAUACAUCUCUUUUUAUCCAUUUUGAUGACAAGUAUUUUCGG
rnacentral:pre_miRNA from 1 species